rnacentral:rRNA from 1 species
CACGUAGGGGGCGAGCGUUGUCCGGAAUCAUUGGGCGUAAAGAGCUCGUAGGCGGCUCGGUAAGUCGGGUGUGAAACCCCCAGGCUCAACCUGGGGACGCCACCCGAUACUGCUGUGGCUAGAGUCCAGUAGGGGAGUGUGGAAUUCCCGGUGUAGCGGUGAAAUGCGUAGAGAUCGGGAAGAACAUCGGUGGCGAAAGCGCUCUGCUGGACUGCAACUGACACUCAGGGACGAAAGCUAGGGGAGCGAAUGGG